CCUACGGGAGGCAGCAGUGAGGAAUAUUGGUCAAUGGUCGUAAGGCUGAACCAGCCAAGCAGCGUGAGGGAAGAAUGUACUAUGUGUCGUAAACCUCUUUUGUCAGGGGACAAAGGCUUCCACGCGUGCACGUUUGCAUGUACCGGAAGAAUAAGCAUCGGCUAACUCCGUGCCAGCAGCCGCGGUAAUACGGAGGGUGCGGGCGUUAUCCGGAUUUAUUGGGUUUAAAGGGUGCGCAGGCGGGUCUGUAAGCGUGCGGUGAAAGUUUGGGGCUCAACCAGGGGACUGCGGUGACACUGGGCAGCCUUGAGUGGGCGGAAGGCAGGCGGAAUUCGCGGUGUAGCGGUGAAAUGCUUAGAUAUCGCGCAGAACCCCGAUUGCGAAGGCAGCCUGCCGCAUCGAUACUGACGCUGAGGCUCGAAAGCGCGGGUAUCGAACAGGAUUAGAUACCCGGGUAGUC
rnacentral:rRNA from 1 species